rnacentral:rRNA from 1 species
AUACAAUAAGUAAUGUGAAUUGCAGAAUCUCGUGAAUCAUCGAAUCUUUGAACGCACAUUGCGUCCUAUGGUAUUCUGUAGGGCAUGCCUGUCUGAACGUAAGCUCCCCCACACUCAAGUCUCUUAAUUGAACCUUGGAUCACUUUAAACAAGUGGCUGAAAUACAAUAGGCUACUCUUUAGAAAUUUAUAGGCAGUAUGGCACCUGAACCAGGCGUCAUAAGGAUAUAAAAGCGUCUCUCUUUAGGAAGGUUGUACUUGCCUUAACCCACCCAUUUUCUUCUAGGUGACCUCAGAUCAGGUAGGGAUACCCGCUGAACUUAA